UUUCAAAGUGAGUUUAUGGCUCUUUAAAAUUAUAAAUUUGCUAUAAAUAGACAUCUUUUAGUCUAGCUAGCAGAGCCAGUGAAUUGCAAACUCUAAACCGUGCAUAGGCUUUAAAAGAAUAUAUAAAAAGUUAUAGAUAUGAAAGGAAAACUUGAACCACCGGCCAAUGACCCAAGAGUUGGCAAGAUAGCGUCGACAACGCUUCCUGGUGGAUAGGCAGCUUCUAGAAAAGCAGCAAGUCCCUCAACAUCUGCCAUCACUGCACUCAUGGAGGCAACAGUUAUGAAGACAACACAAUUACCGGAAAAAAUCGAUUUUUGGAGAAAUAUGAAAAGUGAAGAGACUUAGAUAUAAUGGAGGAAGUAUCGUCGGUAAAGAAGCAAUCACAUAGCCGGUGUUGAAAGGAUAUGUGCUGUUGAUAAGCCGCAAUGAAUAUGGCAAGUCCGCAAAUUUAAAAAUAAAAGUCAAUUUUCUACUUUAUUUACAAUUUUAAGUGACCACGGUGUUACUUUAAAAAUAUAAAGGGCCUUUCUGAUAAUUAGAUCGUUAAGUGUUUUUUUGAAAGUUUUAAA